rnacentral:ncRNA from 2 species
GGGAUCACCUCGGGGUGCCCCAUGCGGGCUGAGACGCGACAGCGGACCCGUUGAACCUGAUCCGGCUCACACCGGCGGAGGGAAGGUGCGCACCCCCUUC